UACGUAGGGCGCAAGCGUUGUCCGGAAUUAUUGGGCGUAAAGAGCUCGUAGGCGGUUUGUCGCGUCUGUCGUGAAAGCUUGGGGCUUAACCCCAAGUCUGCGGUGGAUACGGGCAGACUAGAGGCAGGUAGGGGAGAACGGAAUUCCCGGUGUAGCGGUGAAAUGCGCAGAUAUCGGGAGGAACACCGGUGGCGAAGGCGGAUCUCUGGGCCUGUACUGACGCUGAGGAGCGAAAGCGUGGGGAGCGAACAGG
rnacentral:rRNA from 1 species